UUGACCACAACGGAGGCAGUUUCUUGUUUUGUUGGGAAGGCUUCUACCCAUCCUGAAAAGGUGUCUAUGAAAACUAGGAGAUAUUUAUAACCAUAUUUACCAGGUUUGAUCUCAGUGAAAUCUACUUCCCAGUAUUGUCCUGGUCGGUCCCCCCUGAGUCUUUGGCCAAGUUUAGUGGCGCUUUUGCAUACAUUUACUUUUUGGCAGGGUUUACAAUGUUUGACUAUUUGCUCAACCAGUCGUCUAAGUCCCAGGACAUGGUAUUCAGUUUUUUUUAACAGUCUGGAUCAUCUUGUCUGUCCCCAGGUGGGUCCACUGAUGCAUUUGUUUAAGCAUGGCCUGUGCUUGUUUUUGUGGCAAAAUAAGCUUAUUUGUGGCUGUGUGCCAGUGGCCAGUGCUGGGGUCAGAA